rnacentral:lncRNA from 1 species
UUUCUAGGGCCACUCCCGUGGCAUAUGUAGGUUCCCAGGCUAGGGGUCUAAUUGGAGCUGCAGCCACCGGCCUACGCCAGAGCCACAGUAACACAGGAUCCAAGCUGUGUCUGCAACCUACACCACAGCUCACCGCAAGGCCGGAUGCUUAACCCACUGAGCGAGGCCAGGGAUCGAACCUGCAACCUCAUGGUUCCUAGUCGGAUUCAUAAACCACUGAGCCACAACGGGAACUCCCACAAAAUUCUGAUUUAAAAGAAAAAUCCAAAAAACCAGGCUCUUUUGUGCAAUUUGACUAAAGAGUUUAAAAGUUAGAUGGAAAUGUAACAGGCCAAGAGCAGUCAAGAUACUCUUGAUAAACCAGGGAGAGGACUUGCCCAAUCAGAUACCAUGAUUUCUUUAUAAAUCCAGAGUAAUAAAGAUGAAGUGUUAUUGCCACAAGGAUAGACAAAUAGACCAUUGGCACACAGACUAGAGAGCCCAAAAUCUGCCCAGGCACACGGGGACACUUGAUACUAAGCAGCAGGUGAUACUGCAAAUCAGGAGGGGAAAGACUUUUCUUUUUUUCUUUUUAUGGCCACACCUGUGGCAUGUGGAAGUUCCCAGACUAGGGGUUGAAUCGAAGUUGCAGCUGCCAGCUGAUGCCUACGCUGGAUCUGAGCUGCUUCUGUGACCUACUCCACCACUUGCGGCAACACCGGAUCCUUAGCCCACUGAAUGAGGCCAGGGACCGAACCCACAUCCUCGUGGACACUGUGUCAGGUUUGUUUUUGUUUUUGUUUUUGUUUGUCUUUUUGCUAUUUCUUGGGCUGCUCCCGUGGCAUAUGGAGGUUCCCAGGCCAGCAUAAGGACAUUAAAGCCAGAUAAGGACACCACAAGAAAAGAAAACUACAGGCCAAUAUAUUUGGUAAAUACAGAUGCAAAAAUUCUCAACAAAAUACUAGCAAAUCAAAUUCAAAGGGACGUUAUGAGGAUGAUAUAUCAUGAGCAGGUAGGAUUAUCCAUGGGAUACAAAGACGGCUCAACAUACAUAAACCAAUAAACUCGCAUGUGGGCUCUGGUGGGAGUAAGCUCCCGGCACAGGGCCGUGGUGGGCAUUAGCAGCCAUCUCUGGAAGGUCAACACAGUGACCACGGGAGCAGGUGACACUCAGGCGUGGGGCUGCUGCUUGGAGCAGGGGUCUGCCCAGCGAUCCUCCUGCAGGACCCACCCAUUCACCUACACCCAAAGUCAGUGAUGCCUCCGCACCCUCCACCCGCCCUGUGAGCUGAGCACCUUGUCCUGCAAGAGACAGGACUGCCCAUUGCAGCUCAGGUUUCCUGGUUUGCCCUGGGUGAGCAUCCCUCGCUUACUUUUUGAUGGCAAACACGGUCAGGCCAAUGGUGGUGUUUCUGAACUGUGCAUCCAGGACAGCAGAAUCAAAGGUCCCAUCCCAGAUGAUGGGAGCAAACCAGGGAGUCAUGACCAGCACGUCCACUCUCCUGGGGAGACGAGUCACAGCGUGUUAGAGCCGGGCACAGUGUUGUGGGCCACAGAGGGCAAGCGUUUGUCCAAAGUUGCACAGCCCGUGAGCAGCAGAGCUAGAAAGAGACAGGACUCCAGACUCCCAGCCCAGAGCUCUUUGCACCCUAAGCUCAGCACCCAAGACUCAACACUCCCAUCCCCUCACUGCCCUAAGUUGGAGUGUCCCUGAGUACCAGCUCGGUGCUGGCCCCACGAGACACUUCUUCUGUGAGGCCUCACAACCCUGUUCCCAGGAGGAGGAGUCUCGGCGAGGGAGGACAAGCACCAAGCCCUCUCUCAGCACACGGGGACUUUGCCAUGAUAAGAAAUACGUUUGGGGGAGUUCCCUUGUGGCGCAGCAGGUUAAGGAUCUGGCUGGCUUUGUCACUCCAGAGGCUCGGGUGGCUGCUGUGGCGUGGGUAACUUACCCUAGCUGGGUAACUUCCACAUGCUACAGGCACAACCAAAACACAAAACGAAACAAAACAACACAAAACUUUAUGUGGUCUCUGCCACUCCUCUCCCCUUACCUGAUACAGGCCCUUGGAAUUGCUAGGGCCCUUGGAAUUUCCUGGGUCGCGGGAGCAUCUCGGUUCUAAUGAGGUGACUCUGGGUGGGCUCCUGGGUAGUUCGGGAUGGGGCUGGUCACCAGGAAGACCAAGCCAGGAUUAGAAACUCGGACCUUUCAGCCCCAUAUCCCAGCCUCCCGAGAGGGGAGGGGGCUGGAGAUUGAGUUAAUAACCAAUCAUGCCAAAGAGAUGACGCCUCCAUAAAAAUCCCCAGACUACAGGGUAUUGAGGGCUUCUGGGUGGGCAGACAUGUGGAGGUGCGGGGGGGAGGCGUCCCUGGGGGAGAGCAUGGAAGCUCCGCCCCCUCCCCAUUCCCUUCUCGGUACACCUGUCCCCCCAACUGUCCCUGAGCUGCAGCCUUUAUAAGGAGGCAAGAAUCCAGUAAGUAAACUGCUUUCUUGAGUUCUGUGAGCAUUCCAGCAAAUGAUCAAACCCAAGGAAGGAGCGGUGGGAAAUGAUUUACAGCGAGUCGGUCAGGAGCACAGGUGACAGCCAGGAACUCGGGACUGGUGUCUGAAGUGGGGGCAGGGCUGCGGGGCUGAGCCCUCCACCUGCAGAGUCUGUGCGAAUUGCGGGCAGUGUCAGAAUCGCUUGGUGUGGAAAACCCACACAUGUGCUCUGGGUAGAGGAAACAAGAGCUUCCUUUUAGGGACAAAGCUGAGCUUCGAGAGGGGAGGGGGCUCCUCCUGUCCCGCGUUCUUCGCCACUGCUCCAUUCUCCAGCGGGCACAGACACCUCUCACAUCUCCCUCCACUCACUCUCAUUCAUCAGGACAAAAGAAUCCACCAAAAAACUCAUGCCAACGUGUCCCUCCAGAUCUGCGCUGUCCCACAGAAACAGAGGUAACUAAAAAUCCUCAAGUGCCACAGAAAAGUCAAAGGAAGCAGGAGAAACUGCCAUUAAUUUGGUAUUUUUUUGUUUUACCCCAUAUAUCCAAAACAUCAUCAUUUCGAUUGGUAACCAAUCGUUUCUCUUGGAGGAUAGUUAAUUUACAAUCUUGUGUCAGUUUCAAGUGUACAGGAAAGCGUCCUUUCUUUUAUAGGUUACUAUGCGAUACGGAGCGUAGUUCCCUGUGUGUACAGUGGGUCCUUGUUGUGUGACUAUUUUAUAUACAGUAGGGUGUGUGUGUGAAUCCCACACCCCUGGCACAUUUUUCGUGUAUGUUUAAGUGCAUCUCUUGGGUACCAAGUGUUUGAAACCCAGUUUGCGUUUCACCAUCAAUGGCACAU